rnacentral:lncRNA from 1 species
GUUUCAAACCUGUGUACUGUGUAUCUGAGUCACAGAUGUUAAAGCAAGCACUCGUGGGUUCCUGGAGGAGGGCAGCCUGCCAGUUACCUGUUGGUGAAUGUCAGUAAGCAUUUAUUUUAGCAAGCUCAUUGCCUCCUUCCCUCCAUCUCUCCCACCUCACCUCCUUGCUCAGGCCAGCAUCUUCCCUGCUGGUACCCGAGCACCAUACCUGUUACCUUCUUUAGAGAGAAAAGAUUUGUUUAUUCAUUGUAUCUUGUUUGCUUGUGUUUGUGCCUGAAUGUUCCUACGUGCACCCCAUUCAUGUUGGUUCCCUUGAAGGCCAGAAGAGGGCAUUGGGUCCCUUGGGACUGGAAU